AUAGGCUUUUUGAUGAUGUUGGAAUCGAUAGCUUUUUUGAAACAAAGGACAUGUCGGCUGCCAAUUGUAACUACCAGAGUGAUUUUGCGGCAGAGGGAUGCUCUGCUGAGCAGGUGAAAGCAAUGCAAGGAGCAUGCAGCAACGCAAUAUCUGCUGAUUCGAUUAUGUCGAAUCAAGGAGCUAGGACAGAUCCUAACAUGUGCUUCCCGGCUAGGCAGACCGGUUCCAGCCUGUCCCUCUCGUUCUCCGGUUUGACCGGUGAGAGCAGUGCGGGAGAUUAUCAAGACUGUGGGAUGUCAUCUGCGCUUCUCAUGGGCGAGCCUCCAUGGCACCCUACUGGUCCUGAGGGCUCCUCG
rnacentral:misc_RNA from 1 species